CCUGCCUUUCAGAGGGGGACAACAGCUGGAAACGGCUGCUAAUACCGCAUGACAUAUUGGUGUCGCAUGGCACUGAUAUCAAAGAUUUAUCGCUGAGAGAUGGCCUCGCGUCUGAUUAGCUAGUUGGUAGGGUAACGGCCUACCAAGGCGACGAUCAGUAGCCGGACUGAGAGGUUGGCCGGCCACAUUGGGACUGAGAUACGGCCCAGACUCCUACGGGAGGCAGCAGUGGGGAAUAUUGGGCAAUGGGCGCAAGCCUGACCCAGCAACGCCGCGUGAAGGAAGAAGGCUUUCGGGUUGUAAACUUCUUUUAACAGGGAAGAGCAGAAGACGGUACCUGUUGAAUAAGCCACGGCUAACUACGUG
rnacentral:rRNA from 1 species